rnacentral:piRNA from 1 species
UCUAAACUGUUGGUCGCCGUCGUCGGUC